AAGAAUCUGGCCUGCGCCAUAUGGCUGCUUCCAGUGGGUGCCUGCAAGAUUCAAGUGAGAUUCAGGCAUCUUCUGCUAGCCAUAUUGGUUUGGUUUGUUUUGGUUUUCCAACAAGGGAACACUACAUCAACAAUCUUGGGGAUGUGGACACAGAAGACUCCUGUUCCAAGAAAGUACAAUCAUCUUUCAAAAACUGUAAUUUAUAUGUGUUUUACCACACUAGAUAUUGAAAAACCACCCAACUAGGGGGGUACAGUAUAUAACCAGUCACUAGUGUAAUAUUGUAUACCUUUUUAAAAUGUUAUUGGAAAGUGUUUUAUGAUCUGUAAGUCAAAUAAUCCGGCCCCACCAUUUUCAUUUUUCCUGCUAUUCCCCCAAAUCUAGGCUCCUUUGUUCCAGUUGGCAUGUAAACUUGUUUUUUCCACCAAAUGAGUCAGUCAUGAUAGAAGCGUCAAUUGAUUUGAACAGAUGUGUGUCAAUGUUACUUGGAAAAACUAGAUGCCAAUAACCAGGGCCACAGAAAAAGUCAGCAAAUGUAAUUGUGUAAAGCAUUUAUGCAAGCACGCAGACAAGGAGAAAAGUUGAAUCCUAAACAGGAAAACAUUUGGAUACACUCCAGUGCUGGGAGACCAAAUAAUUCUGUGUUGCUUUUGAUGUCCAGUAACAUGGGCAACUGUCCAAUUAAACAAACACCCAAGAAGGA
ensembl:lincRNA predicted gene 28730